rnacentral:rRNA from 1 species
UGAGGUGCGAAAGCGUGGGGAGCAAACGGGAUUAGAUACCCCGGUAGUCCACGCCGUAAACGAUGUCUACUAGCCGUUGGAGGACUUGAUCCUUUAGUGGCGCAGCUAACGCGAUAAGUAGACCGCCUGGGGAGUACGGUCGCAAGAUUAAAACUCAAAUGAAUUGACGGGGGCCCGCACAAGCGGUGGAGCAUGUGGUUUAAUUCGAAGCAACGCGAAGAACCUUACCUACUCUUGACAUCCAGUGAACUUUUGAGAGAUCAAUUGGUGCCUUCGGGAACACUGAGACAGGUGCUGCAUGGCUGUCGUCAGCUCGUGUUGUGAAAUGUUGGGUUAAGUCCCGUAACGAGCGCAACCCUUGUCCUUAGUUACCAUCAUUAAGUUGGGGACUCUAAGGAGACUGCCGGUGACAAACCGGAGGAAGGCGGGGACGACGUCAAGUCAUCAUGGCCCUUACGAGUAGGGCUACACACGUGCUACAAUGGCAUGUACAAAGGGUUGCCAAGCCGCGAGGUGGAGCUAAUCCCAUAAAGCAUGUCGUAGUCCGGAUUGGAGUCUGCAACUCGACUCCAUGAAGUCGGAAUCGCUAGUAAUCGUGAAUCAGAAUGUCACGGUGAAUACGUUCCCGGGCCUUGUACACACCGCCCGUCACACCAUGGGAGUGGGUUGCUCCAGAAGUAGAUAGCUUAACCUUCGGGAGGGCGUUUACCACGGAGUGAUUCAUGACUGGGGUGAAGUCGUAACAAGGUAGCCGUA